rnacentral:rRNA from 1 species
CCUACGGGUGGCAGCAGUGGGGGAUAUUGCACAAUGGGGGAAACCCUGAUGCAGCGACGCCGCGUGGGUGAAGAAGUAUUUCGGUAUGUAAAGCCCUAUCAGCAGGGAAGAAAGAAGACGGUACCUGACUAAGAAGCCCCGGCUAACUACGUGCCAGCAGCCGAGGUAAUACGUAGGGGGCGAGCGUUAUCCGGAUUCACUGGGUGUAAAGGGAGCGUAGACGGCCGUGCAAGCCAGGGGUGAAAGCCCGGGGCCCAACCCCGGGACUGCGCUUGGAACUGGGCGGCUGGAGUGCGGGAGGGGCAGGCGGAAUUCCUGGUGUAGCGGUGAAAUGCGUAGAUAUCAGGAGGAACACCGGCGGCGAAGGCAGCCUGCUGGACCGCGACUGACGUUGAGGCUCGAAAGCGUGGGGAGCGAACAGGAUUAGAUACCCUGGUAGUC